rnacentral:rRNA from 1 species
AGAGUUUGAUCCUGGCUCAGGACGAACGCUGGCGGCGUGCUUAACACAUGCAAGUCGAGCGAAUGAAGUUCCUUCGGGAACGGAUUUAGCGGCGGACGGGUGAGUAACACGUGGGCAACCUGCCUCAUAGAGGGGAAUAGCCUUCCGAAAGGGAGAUUAAUACCGCAUAAGAUUGUAGUACCGCAUGGUACAGCAAUUAAAGGAGCAAUCCGCUAUGAGAUGGGCCCGCGGCGCAUUAGCUAGUUGGUGAGGUAACGGCUCACCAAGGCGACGAUGCGUAGCCGACCUGAGAGGGUGAUCGGCCACAUUGGGACUGAGACACGGCCAGACUCCUACGGGAGGCAGCAGUGGGGAAUAUUGCACAAUGGGGGAAACCCUGAUGCAGCAACGCCGCGUGAGUGAUGACGGCCUUCGGGUUGUAAAGCUCUGUCUUCAGGGACGAUAAUGACGGUACCUGAGGAGGAAGCCACGGCUAACUACGUGCCAGCAGCCGCGGUAAUACGUAGGUGGCGAGCGUUGUCCGGAUUUACUGGGCGUAAAGGGAGCGUAGGCGGAUUUUUAAGUGAGAUGUGAAAUACUCGGGCUUAACCUGAGUGCUGCAUCUCAAACUGGAAGUCUAGAGUGCAGGAGAGGAGAAGGGAAUUCCUAGUGUAGCGGUGAAAUGCGUAGAGAUUAGGAAGAACACCAGUGGCGAAGGCGCUUCUCUGGACUGUAACUGACGCUGAGGCUCGAAAGCGUGGGGAGCAAACAGGAUUAGAUACCCUGGUAGUCCACGCCGUAAACAAUGAAUACUAGGUGUAGGGGUUGUCAUGACCUCUGUGCCGCCGCUAACGCAUUAAGUAUUCCGCCUGGGGAGUACGGGCCGCAAGAUUAAAACUCAAAGGAAUUGACGG